rnacentral:tRNA from 1 species
GCUUCUAUGGUGUAGUUGGUUAUCACAUCCGCCUCACACGCGGAAGGUCGCCAGUUCAAACCUGGCUGGAAGUA